CCUUAGCAGUCCGCCCCUUCGGGGAGCGGGGUGCUGGCCUCCUAUGUUCCUAACGGUCCUCAUCCGCGAGGGUGGGGAAUCAACCGCUAGGAUCGUUUACUUUGAGGAAAUUAGAGUGUUCAAAGCAGGCGUAACUCGCCUCCGAAUACGUUAGCAUGGGAUAAUGGAAUACGACUUCGGUCUUGUUUCGUUGGUUUCGCUUGGCUGAAGUAAUGAUUGAUAGGGACAGUUGGGGGCAUUAGUAUUUAGUUGUCAGAGGUGAAAUUCUAGGAUUUACUAAAGACUGACCAAUGCGAAAGCAUUUGCCAAGGAUGUUUUCAUUAAUCAAGAACGAAAGUAGGGGGAUCGAAGACGAUCAGAUACCGUCGUAGUCUCUACCGUAAACUAUGCCGACCAGGGAUCCGGAGAGUUUGCAUGGAUGACUCCCCGGGCACCUUGUGAGAAAUCAUAAGUGUUUGGGUUUUGGGGGGAGUAUGGUCGCAAGGCUGAAACUUAAAGGAAUUGACGGAAGGGCACCACCAGGAGUGGAACCUGCGGCUUAAUUUGACUCAACACGGGGAAACUUACGAGGUCAGGACACUGUGAGGAUUGACAGAUUGAUAGC
rnacentral:rRNA from 1 species